rnacentral:rRNA from 1 species
GACGAACGCUGGCGGCGUGCUUAACACAUGCAAGUCGAACGGAAAGGCCCUGCUUUUGUGGGGUGCUCGAGUGGCGAACGGGUGAGUAACACGUGAGUAACCUGCCCUUGACUUUGGGAUAACUUCAGGAAACUUGGGCUAAUACCGGAUAGGAGCUCCUGCUGCAUGGUGGGGGUUGGAAAGUUUCGGCGGUUGGGGAUGGACUCGCGGCUUAUCAGCUUGUUGGUUGGGUAGUGGCUUACCAAGGCUUUGACGGGUCGCCGGCCUGAGAGGGUGAGCGGCCAGAUUGGGACUGAGAUAGGGACCAGACUCCUACGGGAGGCAGCAGUGGGGAAUAUUGCACAAUGGGAGGAAGCGUGAUGCAGCAACGCCGCGUGCGGGAUGGCGGCCUUCGGGUUGUAAACCGCUUUCGCCUGUGACGAAGCGUGAGUGACGGUAAUGGGUAAAGAAGCACCGGCUAACUACGUG